rnacentral:rRNA from 1 species
GGUUGACCUCGGAUCAGGUAGGGAUACCCGCUGAACUUAAGCAUAUCAAUAAGCGGAGGAAAGUGAC